CUCAAUAAUGUUUCUUUGUUUGUUCUUUUCCUUGUAGUGGCAAAUCGUCAUCGUAUUGGGGAUACUAAGUUCGUAGUUUUUUUUAAAUGGCUCCUCGCCUCUUUGACACUUGUCCUGUGUGCAACAGGGUUUGUAAUGUCUGACCACGCAGAAGAGGGACCUUCUUAGCCAUCAACCAACUGUGCCUUCACUGUGCAUUCUUUAGUUUAGACCGUGUCAAACCUGUGAAGGUGUCAAAUCAUGAACAAUGGCCAGGAGACUUCAAAUCUAACGGUCGAUAGCCGUUCUGUUCUGUCUGAAAGGCACUUGUAACAACACAGGAAUGCUCUUCAAUGAGAAUUCUGGCCAUCCACAAAUUACAUAAAUAAAGGGAAGCUUCUCUUUUCAAAAGCCAAAAAGGGAGGACACACAGUCAAACCAGUAAAUAGAGAUCAAGAUAGAAUCAACAUUUUGUAAGUUUCACGGAUUUUUUUAUUUAUUUCAAAUAAUACUUCAAAAUGUUUAAAGAAUCAAAGCAAAGGUGCAAAUAAAUUUAAAAAAAAGGAACGCCCUUCUUUUGCACAGCACCACGAAUGAAGGGAAAACCCCGCACUAGCUGACAAACCAGAUGUAGGGCAACUUGGCAAGUGUCCUCAUCUGCAGGGAAAGGAGAGGAGGAAAGCACGUAGGCCUAUUGUUUGUUUGAGUAUUUAUUUGGCACGGAGUUUAUUAGUGAGUCAUAUUUGUAUGAUGCUAAAGCAAAAUAAAAGCGCCACAUCAAUCAC